CCUACGGUGGGCAGCAGUGAGGAAUAUUGGUCAAUGGGCGCGAGCCUGAACCAGCCAAGUAGCGUGAAGGAUGACUGCCCUACGGGUUGUAAACUUCUUUUACAAAGGAAUAAAGUGCGGCACGUGUGCCUUUUUGUAUGUACUUUAUGAAUAAGGAUCGGCUAACUCCGUUCCAGCCGCCGCGGUAAUACGGAGGUUCCGGGCGUUAUCCGGAUUUAUUGGGUUUAAAGGGAGCGUAGAUGGGUGGUUAAGUCAGUGGUGAAAGUUUGUGGCUCAACCGUAAAAUUGCAGUUGAUACUGGCAUCCUGGAGUACGGGAGAGGUAAGCGGAAUGCGUGGUGUAGGAGGGAAAUGCUUAGAUAUCACGAAGAACUCCGAUUGCGAAGGCAACCUGCUGGACUGUAACUGACGCUGAUGCUCGAAAGUGUGGGUAUCAAACAGGAUUAGAUACCCCUGUAGUC
rnacentral:rRNA from 1 species